GAUGAAGAACGUAGCGAAAUGCGAUAAGUAAUGCGAAUUGCAGAAUUCCAGUGAGUCAUCGAAUCUUUGAACGCACAUUGCGCCCUUUGGUAUUCCGAAGGGCAUGCCUGUUCGAGCGUCAUUAUCACCCCUCAAGCCCUCGGCUUGGUGUUGGACGGUUUGGUGGAGGCCCCCUCGGGGGCUCCUGCCCCUCCCAAAGACAAUGACGGUGGCCUCGUUGGACCCCCGGUACACUGAGUUCUUCACGGGACACGUAUCGGACACAUGGGUUUACGGGACACGGUCUGCCUCCCCUCAGGGAGAAUCUUUCUAAGGUUGACCUCGGAUCAGGUAGGGAUACCCGCUGAACUUAAGCAUAUCAAUAAGCGGAGGA
rnacentral:misc_RNA from 1 species